AAAAGAAGAUGAUGAAUUAAAAGCAUUUUGAAAAUGACACACUUCCGCCCGUCAGUUGGUGGCGCUAUGACUUUGACUCCUAAUAGUCACAUGUAUGCGAUCGGCAUCAUACACCGAAAAAAAAAACGGAAGUUUGAUCAAAAUCAGACAAUGUAUGUGCAACAGUCAUUAG